rnacentral:lncRNA from 1 species
UUCAAGUGUGGGGGAGAUUUUAUGUUUUUAUUAUAAUUUUCAGUAUGGCUAUUUUCAGUAUUUUGUUAUAUUAAUUUAUUGCGUUCUAGAUUUGGUUUUUCUGUUUGAAGGUAUAGUAUGUUGCGAGUGUUUCAAGUCUGUGGUGAUAUUGUGGAAUUAGUAAUGAUCACGACUGGGAGUGGAUGAAAGGAUCACUCCACUUACCAUUACUUGUUGUGAAGGAUCUCCCUAGGAAGUCGAC